rnacentral:tRNA from 1 species
GGGUUGUGGCUCAGUGGUAGAGUACUCGCCUCAUAUGCAUGAGGCCCUGGGCUCGAUCCUCAGCCCCA